rnacentral:lncRNA from 1 species
UUCCCUGUCGGUCACCACAAAAACCUAGCUUUUUCUCUUUUUGUUUGCCUAAACCUAAUCUCCUCACUACUGCCCAAAGAACCAGAGCUCUCAUUUCCUCUACUAGCUCCAAAAGAUCAAACCUUUUUCCCUCUAGAAAAUACCCAAACUAGAACUAAAAAAAAAUUUAAACUCUAACCUCUUCCAUUUUGUACAUAUAUAUUUUUUGUCUUUCCUUUCUUCCACGACUUUUCUCCUUGGUUUUGGCCGGCUCUCUCAUACCAACACCAACCCCUCUUUUCUUCCUCACUCACAAAUCGACAACACUUCCUCCUUU